rnacentral:rRNA from 1 species
AGUGAAUAGAUACCCGGGUAGUCCACGCCCUAAACGAUGUCAACUAGGUGUUGGGUGGGUAAAACCAUUUAGUACCGUAGCUAAACGCGUGAAAGUUGACCGCCUGGGGAGGUACGGCCGCAAGGUUAAAACUACAAAGGAAUUGACGGGGACCCGGCACAAGCGGUGGGAUGAUGUGGAUUAAUUCGAUGCAACGCGAAAAAACCUUAACCUACCCUUGUACAUGCCAGGAACUUGCCAGAGAUGGCUUGGUGCCCGAAACGGGAGCCUGGACACAGGUGCUGCAUGGCUGUCGUCAGCUCGUGUCGUGAGAUGUUGGGUUAAGUCCCGCAACGAGCGCAACCCUUGUCGUUAAUUGCCAUCAUUUGG